AGCAUCUGUGUGUGGUUUUGUUCCGCAAAAACAAAGGCAGGGAAGACAGAUGCAAAAGUGCGUCCUCUUUUGCAACCCAUAACUCAUUGUUCAAUGCGAGUUCUAAUAUACGCAAGAAGAAAUGUG
ensembl:snoRNA